UACGUAGGGGGCAAGCGUUGUCCGGAAUUAUUGGGCGUAAAGAGCGCGUAGGCGGUCCGAUAAGUCGGCUGUGAAAGUCAGGGGCUCAACCCUUGAAAGCCGGCCGAUACUGUCGGACUAGAGUCCGGAAGAGGCAAGUGGAAUUCCCGGUGUAGCGGUGAAAUGCGUAGAUAUCAAGAGGAACACCUGAGGUGAAGACGGGUUGCUGGGCUGACACUGACGCUGAGUGCGCGAAAGCCAGGGGAGCAAACGGG
rnacentral:rRNA from 1 species